ACUUUUGGCAAGGGCCGAUGGGAAAUGUAGUCAUGGGCGGCUUCCUGGUAAAUAACGUUCCACACGCUCUGCCGUCACAGUACGCAUGUUCAGUUUGGUCGAAAUUAUGAUACGUCAUCAAUCGCGACGGAACCUAGACAUUUCCGUAGGAAGCGCUUUUUUUGUUUUUGUUGUUAUUUUAAAGUGCUAUUUUCUGAAGGAAUGAUAACGCUACACUACUGACGAUUCGGAGUAGUCAAGGAAGAACAAAGGCGAGAUGCUUUCAUUUUUUUUCUCUGAUGCUUCGUAGAUUCAGUGCAAGGAUUUGACUGGACGGCCAUCCAAAGUAUCGGUAUCGUCUAAAGGGUUUGGACGUGGACAGACAGGCAACUAUUUAUUUCGGACCAGACUGAUCAUCAUCUGAGAAGACGAGCCCUGGUGCCAUCAUGGAUUUUGAUGCACUCUACAAAAACGAUUUUGUGAAAGUUUUCAAGAAGGAUUGGAGAAUAGGAAUGAACAAAAUUUUCUGUAAGCCGUGCAGAGUGCUGUGCCGUGGACAGAUCCUCUAUAAGAAGCACUGCAAUACCCUCGGACAUUUAGAGGUG